GGCUCCGAAAGGAGAGCGUGGUGUCUGGAGGUGAUCGGAAGGGACUGGCUGGAGUGUGGCGGGCUGACAGGUCUGAGGCCUGAAGGACUUCCGGGAACCGCAAAGCACGGUGUGCCUCCGCUGUCCUGAAGAAAAAGCCGCGCGCGGACGACUGGCCGGCCCGCGCUUGCAGCUCCCAGAAGUUGACAGGCAUCCUCCGGUGACCGGUGUGAGUAUGGCAUCAGGAUGAUUUGACUGCAAGCAACAGAAAAAUCAAACAAAAAUGGCCUAAGCCAAGAAGAGAAAUGAUUAUUUCACAUUCCAAGAAGUUUGGGAGUCGAGUGGUUAAACGGCUAAUUAAUCUAGAGCUCAACAGUAUCACCCAGGACCCAUUUUCACUAUGGUGGCUAAAGCUCUGCACCCUUCAGGCUUGCACCAUGGCAGCAGCAGUGACAGUAAAGACACCCUUACACCACAAUGCUCCAUGACCAGGGAGAGGGUCUCCUCUCUCCUGCCCCUUUCUGGAGGCUCCACCGAAGAUUUCUCUUCACAUUCCGUUUCUCAUUCCUGAAGCAGUUGCUGGCAACAGGGAUGGACUUACCGCAAUGGGUACAGAGCAACUAAGAUUCACCACUAGGUGAGUCCUUUGGAAAACACUUGGCCAUCCAAUAUAUAAACAAAUCUGGUACUCCUGUCAGGAAAGAGGCAGCACUUUAUGGCUUCUCUUGGGCAUAUCCAAAUUGCUACCAUCACUACUCGUAUUAGUCCAUUUUCACGCUGCUGAUAAAGACAUACCUGAGACUGAGAAAUUUACCAAAUAAAGAGGUGUACUGGACUUACAGUUCCACAUGGCUGGGGAGGCCUCACAAUCAUGGUGGAAGGCAAGAAGGAGCAAGUCAUGUCUUACAUGGAUGGCAGCUGGCAAAGAGAAAGCUUGUACAGGGAGACUCCCGUUUUGAAAACCAUCAGAUCUUGUGAGACUCAUUCACUAUUACAAGAACAGUGCAGGAAAGAUGCACCCCUGUACUUCAAUCACCUCCCAGCAGGUUCCUCCCACGACAUGUGGGAAUUGUGGGAGUUACAAUUCAAGAUGAGAUUUGGUUGGGGACACAGCCAAACCAUAUCACUACUCUUGUGCUUUGGGGCCAUUAUGAAGUAAAACAAGCAUUAUUUGAACACAAGAACUGCAAUACCACCACAGUAGAUCUGAUAACUGUUGGCUACUAAGUGACUAAGGGGCAGGUGAAGUAUACAGCUUGGAUGCGAUGGACAAAGAGGAAGAUCUACCUCCCAGCUGGGAUGGAGCAGGACGAUGCAAGAUUUCAUCACACUACUCAGAAAGGCAUGCAGUUUAAAGCUCGUAAAUUAUUUCAGGAAUUUUCCAUUUAAUAUUUUCAGGCUGUGGCUGACCGUGAGUAACAAACCCAGGAAAGCGAAACUGCAGAACAGUGGAUGGGAGAAAGGGUGAAUUACUGUAUAUUCAUGAGGGAUAUUAGUCCAUAGUUUCUUUUUUCCCUUUUAACAAAUUUUUGGGUUUUGUAUAUAGUUUGUCUGGUUUUGGUAUCAGGGUAAUACUAGCUUCAUAAAAUGAAUUGGAAAGCGUUUCUUCUGUUUUCCUAAAAAGAUUAUAUGGAAUUAGCAUUCAUUCUUUAAACACUUGGUAGAAAUCUUAAGUAAAACCAUCUGAGCUCGGAGAUUUUUUUGUGUGUGUUAUAAAAUUACAUAUUCAGUUUCCUUAAUAUUUAUAAGAUCAUUUUAAUUAUCUGUGUUUUUCAGUGAAACGGGUCAAUUUUCUGUAUGUUGUCAAAUUAAUAUUUGUAGAAUUGUAUUAGUAUUCUUCAUUAUCCUUUUGAUGUCUGCAGAAUCUGUAAUGGUAUCCCUGUUUUAUUUCUGAUAUUAAUUUGUGCCAUUAUGUCUUUUUUUCUUUGUUGAUCUUGUCAGAAGUUUGUCAAUUUUAUCAAUUUGUUCCAAGAACCAGCUCAUUG
ensembl:lncRNA COX10-DT COX10 divergent transcript